rnacentral:rRNA from 1 species
UACGUAGGGGGCAAGCGUUGUCCGGAAUCAUUGGGCGUAAAGCGCGUGUAGGCGGUUUUCCAAGUUGGGUGUGAAAGCCUUGGGCUUAACCCAAGAAAUGCACUCAGUACUGGAAGACUAGAGGACCGGAGAGGAUAGUGGAAUUCCCAGUGUAGUGGUGAAAUACGUAGAGAUUGGGAAGAACACCAGUGGCGAAAGCGUGCUACUGGGUCUGCACUGACACUGAGGGACGAAAGCUAGGGGAGCGAAAGGG